ensembl:lncRNA
UCCCUCUAUUUCACUUUCAGAUCCAAAAGAAAUGAUAAUAAAUGAUACUUAUACUCACGUAUAUAUAUAUAUAUAUAUAUAUACGUCCAUAUAUACAUUUCAGUUUGACCAAGGCAGGGUCCCCACCACAAACAGCUGGAGCAGUAAUCAUUAGGUGGGGGUCAGAUGUAACAGGGUCAAGAUCGGUCAGUAUUACACAAUUCAAAACGAAUUAGAUUACAUCACAAACAUAACUUGUUCCUAAUACACACUAUCAUCUGUCAUCUGCUGUGGUGUGAUGCAUACUUCAGGUGAUAUUGGUCAUAAUACACACUAUCAUCUGUCAUCUGCUGUAGUGUGAUGCAUACUUCAGGUGAUAUUGGUCAUAAUACACACUAUCAUCUGUCAUCUGCUGUAGUGUGAUGCAUACUUCAGGUGAUAUUGGUCAUAAUACACACUAUCAUAUGUGCUGUAGUGUGAUGCAUACUUCAGGUGAUAUUGGUCAUAAUACACACUAUCAUAUGUGCUGUAGUGUGAUGCAUACUUCAGGUGAUAUUGUAGUCCGUGUUUAUCCGAUGCCUGACUAAGCCCACUGACUCAAACAAAGACAGACGCCUCCAAAAGACUACAACACCUAAAGCACUCCUGGCUACAGAACAGACUUUAAGUACACUAGACAAGAUUUGGGAAAACAACUAGAACACCCAACAUUAGACCCCUCAUUCAGUCGAUUUUACACAAGAAAGCCCAAUAUUACUUUGAUAUUAUGAUCUGUAAAUAUGUUUUUAAAUCAUCUGUUUCUUUGAUAUGAUGUUUUUAUUUCAUUUUUGAUUUACACUGAACACAAGAAAAAUAUCCCACUCUUUGUCUUUGUUUCAUAACCGUUGGAGAAAAUACAGUAACGUUCAGUUGAGCUAUGAUGCCCCCUACUGGGCAAAAAAGCACUCCGCCAUGUCAAUGAUCUCCGAAUAACUGGACAUUAAAUACAGGAUGAUUCAGUUAUCAGUCCCUUUAUCGGAAACCUCCGUCCAUUUGACUGUUUAUUUCUAACUUUCCUUCAUCUACAUUUUAUCUGCCGCUGUUCUUAUCUGCCUGUCUUCCUUCUGACUUCCUUUUUGUCUUUCUUUCUGUAAUUCUUUUUCUCUGUCUGUCUUUAUUUCAGUCUUUUAUAUAUAUAGUACAAAUGUGAAGUGAAGUAAGCCCUGAUAGCUAUGACCAUCAUUAUCAUGUGGAUUAAAGGAUUCAAAAAAAGAAAAUGUGUUUAGAUUUAACAAUGCAAAAACUACGUGAAGUAAAGCCCUAUUUAAUAUUCUGUGUUACUUCUAUUUGUCUAGCACUUUCAAUGUUCAUUUCCUUCACUUUCUUCUCACCCUUCUCUCUCUCUCUCUCUCUCUCUCUCUGUCACACACACACACACACACACACACACACACACACACACACACACACACACACACACACACACACACACACACACACGCACACACACACACACACACGCUAACUCCCAAGUGGUCUGUGGAGGACUUGGCACCCAUUGCAUGGCGUUGUGGUAUUUUAAGGGGUGGGGGGCUUGGC